CUUAGAUGGUAAUGUCUGGAUCUAAAGAAAAAUGGAGAUAACUCUGUCACUGAAAUCUCACUUUUGAUGUUGUACAUUAGUUAAAUAUGUAAAGGCUAUUCCUUCUCCUUUCUCUCUAUAUGACCUGGGCUUGUUCACAGCAUGGCAAUACAAGAACUCAGCUUCGUUCUUCUACAAAGCCGCCUCUUGGAGUUGUAUCGGAUUUUAUUACCAGUUUUCAUCUGAAUCCACCGGGUAAUGAAUGGGACGAUUCUGCUUUUGUUUCUUGGCCAGGAAUCGCUUGAUCC
rnacentral:lncRNA from 1 species